UACGUAGGGGGCGAGCGUUGUCCGGAUUUAUUGGGCGUAAAGGGCCCGCAGGCGGUCGCGUCAGUUUGGGGUUACAGCUCCCGGCUUAACUGGGAGAGCGCCUCGAAGACGGCGUGACUUGAGGACUUCAGAGGGACACAGAAUUCCGGGUGUAGUGGUGAAAUGCGUAGAUAUCCGGAGGAAUACCAAAGGCGAAGGCAGUGUCCUGGGGAGUUACUGACGCUCAGGGGCGAAAGCUAGGGGAGCGAACGGG
rnacentral:rRNA from 1 species